rnacentral:rRNA from 1 species
UACGGAGGGCGCGAGCGUCAAUCGGAAUUACUGGGCGUAAAGCGCGCGUAGGCUGUUGUGUAAGUUGGGGGUGAAAUCCCACGGCUCAACCGUGGAACAGCCCUUGAUACUGCGCGACUUGAAUCCGGGAGAGGGUGGCGGAAUUCCAGGUGUAGGAGUGAAAUCAGUAGAUAUCUGGAGGAACAUCAGUGGCGAAGGCGGCCACCUGGACCGGUAUUGACGCUGAGGCGCGAAAGCGUGGGGAGCAAACAGG